rnacentral:tRNA from 1 species
GGUCCUAUAGACUAGUUGGUUAGGUCACGGCCCUUUCAAGGCCGUAGGACGGGUUCGAGUCCCGUUAGGACUA